AUUGAACGCUGGCGGCAGGCCUAACACAUGCAAGUCGAGCGGCAGCGGAAAGUAGCUUGCUACUUUGCCGGCGAGCGGCGGACGGGUGAGUAAUGUCUGGGAAACUGCCUGAUGGAGGGGGAUAACUACUGGAAACGGUAGCUAAUACCGCAUAACGUCGCAAGACCAAAGAGGGGGACCUUCGGGCCUCUUGCCAUCAGAUGUGCCCAGAUGGGAUUAGCUAGUAGGUGGGGUAAUGGCUCACCUAGGCGACGAUCCCUAGCUGGUCUGAGCGGAUGACCCGGCACACUGGGACGGAGACACGGUCCAGACUCCUAAGGGAGGAAGCAGUGGGGAAUAUUGCACAAUGGGCGAAAGCCUGAUGCAGCCAUGCCGCGUGUAUGAAGAAGGCCUUCGGGUUGUAAAGUACUUUCAGCGGGGAGGAAGGUGUUGAGGUUAAUAACCUUGCUGAUUGACGUUACUCGCAGAAGAAGCACCGGCUAACUCCGUGCCAGCAGCCGCGGUAA
rnacentral:rRNA from 1 species